rnacentral:rRNA from 1 species
GAUGAACGCUAGCGGCAGGCUUAAUACAUGCAAGUCGUGGGGCAGCAUGAGUAGCAAUACUUGAUGGCGACCGGCAAACGGGUGAGGAACACGUACACAACCUUCCUUCAAGCGGGGAAUAGCCCAGAGAAAUUUGGAUUAAUACCCCAUAAUAUAUUUGAUAAGGCAUCUUAUUAAUAUUAAAGCUUCGGCACUUGAUGAUGGGUGUGCGGCUGAUUAGAUAGUUGGCGGGGUAACGGCCCACCAAGUCUACGAUCAGUAGCUGAUGUGAGAGCACGAUCAGCCACACGGGCACUGAGACACGGGCCCGACUCCUACGGGAGGCAGCAGUAAGGAAUAUUGGACAAUGGACGAAAGUCUGAUCCAGCCAUGCCGCGUGAAGGAUUAAGGUCCUCUGGAUUGUAAACUUCUUUAUAUGGGACGAAAAAGGGCAUUCUUGUUCACUUGACGGUACCAUAUGAAUAAGCACCGGCU